GAUGAAGAACGCAGCAAAAUGCGAUAAGUAAUGUGAAUUGCAGAAUUCAGUGAAUCAUCGAAUCUUUGAACGCACAUUGCGCCCGCCAGUAUUCUGGCGGGCAUGCCUGUUCGAGCGUCAUUUCAACCCUCAAGCACAGCUUGGUGUUGGGACUCGCGUUAAUUCGCGUUCCCCAAAUUGAUUGGCGGUCACGUCGAGCUUCCAUAGCGUAGUAGUAAAACCCUCGUUACUGGUAAUCGUCGCGGCCACGCCGUUAAACCCCAACUUCUGAAUGUUGACCUCGGAUCUGGUAGGAAUACCCGCUGAACUUAAGCAUAUCAAUAAGCGGAGGA
rnacentral:misc_RNA from 1 species